rnacentral:tRNA from 1 species
GGUUUUGUAAAUGUGUGUUAAAUGCCACGCCAUCUUGAGGGGGUGGUGAGCUACGCUCGUGAGGGUUCAAGUCCCUCCAACCGCACCA